rnacentral:rRNA from 1 species
GGUGGGGAUGACGUCAAGUCCUCAUGGCCCUUAUGGGUAGGGCUUCACACGUCAUACAAUGGUCGGUACAGAGGGUUGCCAACCCGCGAGGGGAGCUAAUCCCACAAAGCCGAUCGUAGUCCGGAUCGCAGUCUGCAACUCGACUGCGUGAAGUCGGAAUCGCUAGUAAUCGUGGAUCAGCAUGUCACGGUGAAUACCGGUUCCCGGGUCUU